rnacentral:rRNA from 1 species
UGCGUAGGUGGCGUGGUAAGUCGGGUGUGAAAUUUCGGAGCUCAACUCCGAAACUGCAUUCGAUACUGCCGUGCUUGAGGACUGGAGAGGAGACUGGAAUUUACGGUGUAGCAGUGAAAUGCGUAGAGAUCGUAAGGAAGACCAGUGGCGAAGGCGGGUCUCUGGACAGUUCCUGACACUGAGGCACGAAGGGCCAGGGGAGGCAACG